rnacentral:rRNA from 1 species
UGGGGAAUAUUGGACAAUGGGGGGAACCCUGAUCCAGCCAUGCCGCGUGUGUGAAGAAGGCCUUAUGGUUGUAAAGCACUUUAAGCGAGGAGGAGGGUACUGGUAUUAAUACUACCAGGUACUGGACGUUACUCGCAGAAUAAGCACCGGCAAACUCUGUGCCAGCAGCCGCGGUAAUACAGAGGGUGCGAGCGUUAAUCGGAUUUACUGGGCGUAAAGCGUGCGUAGGCGGCUAAUUGAGUCGGAUGUGAAAUCCCCGAGCUUAACUUGGGAAUUGCAUUCGAUACUGGUUAGCUAGAGUGUGCGAGAGGAUGGUAGAAUUCCAGGUGUAGCGGUGAAAUGCGUAGAGAUCUGGAGGAAUACCGAUGGCGAAGGCAGCCAUCUGGCCUAACACUGACGCUGAGGUACGAAAGCAUGGGGAGCAAACAGG